GGCCUGUUGGUCUAGUGGUAUGAUUCGCGCUUCGGGUGCGUGAGGUCCCGGGUUCGACUCCCGGACAGGCCC
rnacentral:tRNA from 1 species